rnacentral:rRNA from 1 species
UCCUACGGGGGGCAGCAGUGAGGAAUAUUGGUCAAUGGGCGGGAGCCUGAACCAGCCAAGCCGCGUGAGGGAAGAAGGUACAGCGUAUCGUAAACCUCUUUUGUCAGGGAACAAAGGCGGGGACUAGUCCCCGGAUGAGGGUACCUGAAGAAAAAGCAUCGGCUAACUCCGUGCCAGCAGCCGCGGUAAUACGGAGGAUGCGAGCGUUAUCCGGAUUUAUUGGGUUUAAAGGGUGCGUAGGCGGAAUAUCAAGUCAGCGGUAAAAAUUCGGGGCUCAACCCCGUCGUGCCGUUGAAACUGAUGUU